UACGUAGGGGGCAAGCGUUGUCCGGAAUCAUUGGGCGUAAAGCGCGCGUAGGCGGCCCGGUAAGUCCGCUCUGAAAGUCCAGGGCUUAACCCUGGAAAGCGGGUGGAUACUGCCGGGCUUGAAUCCGGAAGAGGCGAGUGGAAUUCCUGGUGUAGCGGUGAAAUGCGCAGAUAUCAGGAGGAACACCGGUGGCGAAGGCGGGAUCUCUGGGCCAUUACUGACGUGAGGAGCGAAAGCGUGGGGAGCGAACAGG
rnacentral:rRNA from 1 species